GGGGGGAGGUCGGAUCCUGGGCUGUGUCCCUAGCGCCCUGUGCUCCUGGGCCUGCGCUGUUGGAUUAGUGCUCCCGGUUGCACAGCCGCCU
rnacentral:pre_miRNA from 1 species